UACGGAGGGGGCGAGCGUUAUUCGGAAUCAUUGGGCGUAAAGGGCGCGUAGGCGGCCGGGCAAGUCAGGGGUGAAAUCCCUCGGCUCAACCGAGGAAUUGCCUCUGAAACUGCCCAGCUCGAGGCCGGUAGAGGGUAGUGGAAUUCCCAGUGUAGCGGUGAAAUGCGUAGAUAUUGGGAGGAACACCAGUGGCGAAGGCGGCUACCUGGAGCGGUUCUGACGCUGAGGCGAGAAAGCGUGGGGAGCAAACAGG
rnacentral:rRNA from 1 species